AUGAACGCUGGCGGCGUGCCUAAUACCUGCAAGUCGAGCGAACAGACGAGGAGCUUGCUCCUCUGACGUUAGCGGCGGACGGGUGAGUAACACGUGGAUAACCUACCUAUAAGACUGGGAUAACUUCGGGAAACCGGAGCUAAUACCGGAUAAUAUAUUGAACCGCAUGGUUCAAUAGUGAAAGACGGUUUUGCUGUCACUUAUAGAUGGAUCCGCGCCGCAUUAGCUGGUUGGUAAGGUAACGGCUUACCAAGGCAACGAUGCGUAGCCGACCUGAGAGGGUGAUCGGCCACACUGGAACUGAGACACGGUCCAGACUCCUACGGGAGGCAGCAGUAGGGAAUCUUCCGCAAUGGGCGAAAGCCUGACGGAGCAACGCCGCGUGAGUGAUGAAGGUCUUCGGAUCGUAAAACUCUGUUAUUAGGGAAGAACAAAUGUGUAAGUAACUAUGCACGUCUUGACGGUACCUAAUCAGAAAGCCACGGCUAACUACGUG
rnacentral:rRNA from 1 species